rnacentral:lncRNA from 1 species
GAGAUGCACUGACUUCUGAUGAUAGAGCGAACUUCUAAGAUCAUGACUGGUCCUUUGAAAACAAGCUGUCUUUCUGGAAAUGUUAGAGGUCUUCCAGGAGCCAAAGUGCUUGGUAGAUUUCGCUCUUCAGAGACAUCCUGGAGCCAGGAGUUUCCUGGCAUAGGAAUAAGAAGUCCCAGUCCCCUUGACUCAAGGUGGAUCAGACUGCAGCGCUGCUUACCUUCCAGAGUUCUCCACAGGUUCCGCGGAGGCUAGAACUUCGUCUGAUCUUACACCGUGUUUGACUUCUUCCUUUUUCUUGUCACAAUUUUCUGUCACCAAUUUCUCCAGAGAGCACUUCUUCAAUAAAUCACCCACGCAAGAAUUCUUAUUGCA